rnacentral:piRNA from 1 species
UGCAUUAGUAAAAGGUACCACAAUUUCAGC